CAGAACAAGAGAAAUGUGAAGGUGGAGAGCUCUGAGAAUUCUGCUACACAUAAUACAUCACAAGAGGGCAUCUCAGUCCGCGAGAGAGAAGAAGAGAAUAUCUCAUCUAGGGAAAAGGAGGUCACUGACAUUGCAAAUGCAACUGGAAGGUUGGAAAUUGACAAUUACGAGAAUGCGGAUAAAUGGUUGAAAGAGACACAGAUUGAUACUGGCACAAUCCUGGAUAGACAGAAAAGGCUGGAACAUGAAAUUGAAGAGGAUGUGUCCUUCAGUGAUUUGGAGGAUGAUGAUAAUGGUCUAUCAAGUAGACUAUCCGGUUCUAGGCAAGCACAGGACAUUAUCAGGGCUCCUUCACCCACUGAUUGGGUCCAGCUGAAUGAAAGUUCUGGUGCUGGGGGUGGUCCGCAAAAAGCAAGGCAGUCUAUUUCCCGUGAAAAGGAUUCUGAUGGUGAGUCCAAUGAUUGGCUUAAAGUUGAUGAUUUUGAUUAGGGAAUCCAGCGACUUUUUAUUACCGAUUCAUUGUAAAGUUUUCUCCUUUUUUUUUU
rnacentral:misc_RNA from 1 species